UUUCCCUCAUUCGUCCGAUCAAUAUCACCACCGCAAGCGCCACCGUUCGUCCAAAAAAACCUCACCUCCGUUCGCCCGAUCAAAUCUCACCACCAACCCAACCCCAAUGUCCAAAAUCUCAUGGCGAACCACAAUCAGAUCACCACAGAAUGAACCACUGUUCAUCCUCGUCAUCUUACAAAGCCAAUUAAUCAUCUAAGUAAUACAAGCACCACUACAAGCCUAUUACUGACAUUGUCGUCGUCUGCUCGUGCUCCCCCAUCAUGUCUUCUUGUGCUCCCCGAUUGUUUUCAACUCAGGCCGUCAUCCUCUAUUCACUGCUGUGAAGCAGCUCAAAUAAAAGCUCCAACCCACCAUCAAGAACCGUUUGAUUAAUAUAUUUUUAGUUUUUUGGGGUUCGAGCCCCACGGUGGGC
rnacentral:lncRNA from 1 species